GCGGAGGAAAAGAAAAUAACAAUGAUUUCCCUAGUAACGGCGAGUGAAGAGGAAAGAGCUCAAAGUUGGAACCUGUUUGGCUUAGCUAAACCGGAUUGUAAACUGUAGAAGUGUUUUCCAGGCACGCCAGAUAAAAAAGUCCUUUGGAACAGGGCAUCAUAGAGGGUGAGAAUCCCGUCUUUGGUCUGAGCAGUUGUCUUUUGUGAUACACUUUCAAAGAGUCAGGUUGUUUGGGAAUGCAGCCUAAAUUGGGUGGUAAAUCUCACCUAAAGCUAAAUAUUUGCGAGAGACCGAUAGCGAACAAGUACCGUGAGGGAAAGAUGAAAAGAACUUUGAAAAGAGAGUUAAACAGUAUGUGAAAUUGUUAAAAGGGAACCGUUUGGAGCCAGACUGGCUUGAUUGUAAUCAUUCUAGGCUUCGGCCUGGAUGCACUUGCGGUCUAUGCCUGCCAAUAACAGUUUUGCUUGGGGGAAAAAACUAUCAGGAAUGUGGCCCUUCGGGGUGUUAUAGCCUGGUAGAAAAUACCCUGGGCGGGACUGAGGAACGCAGUGAAUGCCUUUAGGCAAGAUUGCUGGGUGCUUUUGCUGAUAAAUGCUAGAAUUUCUGCUUCGGGUGGUGCUAGUGUUUAAAGGUAAAACUCGCCUAGUAUAUUUUUUAUUCGCUUAGGUUGUUGGCUUAAUGACUCUAAUGAC
rnacentral:rRNA from 1 species